UACGUAGGGUGCAAGCGUUGUCCGGAAUUAUUGGGCGUAAAGAGCUCGUAGGCGGUCUGUCGCGUCUGCUGUGAAAACUCGGGGCUUAACCCCGGGCCUGCAGUGGGUACGGGCAGACUAGAGUGCGGUAGGGGAGACUGGAAUUCCUGGUGUAGCGGUGGAAUGCGCAGAUAUCGGGAGGAACACCCGUGGCGAAGGCGGCACUCUGGGACGGUACUGACGCUGAGACGCGAAAGCGUGGGGAGCAAACAGG
rnacentral:rRNA from 1 species